GACGAAGGGGGCUAGCGUUGUUCGGAAUUAUUGGGCGUAAAGAGCUCGUAGGUGGUUCGGUAAGUCGGAUGUGAAAUCUCCAGGCUCAACCUGGAGGGGUCAUUCGAUACUGCCGUGACUAGAGUUCGGUAGGGGAGUGUGGAAUUCCUGGUGGAGCGGUGAAAUGCGCAGAUAUCAGGAGGAACACCCGUAGCGAAGGCGGCACUCUGGGCCGAUACUGACACUGAGGAGCGAAAGCGUGGGGAGCGAACAGG
rnacentral:rRNA from 1 species